UACCCCUUGGCUAGGAUAGCACUCGGCAGAGUCACCAGCCGAGGAGAGGCACGCCAGGUGGUGUCACCUGCAGCCAGGGGGUAGAAUCAAAUAGUAGUGACAGUGCCUGGCAUGCCCCCCUGGGCAAAGCCUGGAUCGAAGGUUCGUACAGCAGACAGCAAAAUUGAGAUUGACAUUAUAUGUCACACAGUGCAUUGCCCCAAUUCACAUUAUGACAUACUGUGCCUUCUAAUUAUAUGCCACACUGCCACCCCCAUCCAGGGGCGGAUAAAGAGAGGAGAGGACCCCUCCACUAAGGCAGCAGCCCCAGCGCUGUAGACUCUGGCCUGGUGCCAGACUACUGCGCAUGUUCGUAUCACCAGGAAAAUAGCUGCCACGCCAUUUUCCCAGUGAGUUUUAUCUGCAGCACCCACCGCCACAGGACUCUGAAGUGGGUGAAACAUGAAGAGAUGGCUUCAAAUUUGACGUUACACUGUUAUUCCUACAUUUAUAGUUAGACAAUUAGUGCCACCACAGAAAGUCACCUUAAAAGAAAUGAACUAGUUCUCACAAUAUGAUGAUAACUAGUAUGAGUACUGUAUUAAAGGUAUGUCACAGGUUAUCGGGUUAGACGCAAGCUGUCAGUACUGUCGAGUAGCAGAAACCUCUAAAAGAACAGGAUUUCUUUGACUCAGAUAGACACCAAAAUGAGGUGGAAGGUCUUGCCUCUAAACUGAGCCGCAGAUAGCAUUGUUGGGUGGACCAGAAACACGACCUCACUGGAAGCUUCCUGUUAGGGAUCGUGAGAUGCUGAUCCCAUACUGAGCAGAGAAAUAAUGAAUGAAAUGUAAUGCUCUUCA